CGGGCGGACGGGUGAGUAACACGUGGGUAACCUACCUAUAAGACUGGGACAACUUCGGGAAACCGGAGCUAAUACCGGAUAAGAUAUCGAACCGCAUGGUUCGAUAGUGAAAGAUGGUUUUGCUAUCACUUAUAGAUGGACCCGCGCCGUAUUAGCUAGUUGGUGAGGUAACGGCUCACCAAGGCAACGAUACGUAGCCGACCUGAGAGGGUGAUCGGCCACACUGGAACUGAGACACGGUCCAGACUCCUACGGGAGGCAGCAGUC
rnacentral:rRNA from 1 species